CAGCAGCCGCGGGAAAACGUAGGGUGCGAGCGUUAAUCGGAAUUACUGGGCGUAAAGCGUGCGCAGGCGGUUAUAUAAGACAGAUGUGAAAUCCCCGGGCUCGACCUGGGACCUGCAUUUGUGACUGUAUAGCCAGAGUACGGUAGAGGGGGAUGGAAUUCCGCGUGUAGCAGUGAAAUGCGUAGAUAUGCGGAGGAACACCGAUGGCGAAGGCAAUCCCCUGGACCUGUACUGACGCUCAUGCACGAAAGCGUGGGGAGCAAACAGGAUCAGAUACCCCCGUAGUCCCUGUCUCUUAACC
rnacentral:rRNA from 1 species